rnacentral:rRNA from 1 species
CACGUAGGAGGCAAACGUUAUCCGGAUUUACUGGGCGUAAAGCGCGUGUAGGUGGUUCUGUAAGUAGGGCGUGAAAGCUCCCGGCUCAACUGGGAGAGGCCGUUCUAAACUGCAGAGCUAGAGGAUGGUAGAGGGAGGUGGAAUUCCAGGUGUAGCGGUGGAAUGCGCAGAUAUCUGGAGGAACACCAGUGGCGAAGGCGGCCUCCUGGACCAUUCCUGACACUCAGACGCGAAAUCUAGGGUAGCAAACGGGAUUAGAUACCUCUGUA